AUCACUUCUGGGACUCUUUGUUCAGAUCAAGUGUAGUUAUCUGUUAUUAUCAGUUUAAUAUCUGAUAUGUCCUCUAUCUGAGGCCAUUAUAUUAAAUUGGCUUUUGGAACAGGGAGGUGGAAAAUGGGUUUGCUCUAUCCACUCCACACAUCAGCCUAGUAUUGCUGUACUUCUAGGAAUGGUGCAAAAAUA
rnacentral:snRNA from 1 species